rnacentral:rRNA from 1 species
AACGAACGUUAAGCGGCGCGCCUAACACAUGCAAGUCGCACGAGAAAGGGCUUCGGCCCCGGUACAGUGGCGCACGGGUGAGUAACACGUAGAUCAUCUCCCCUCGAGUGGUGGAUAACUCUCCGAAAGGAGAGCUAAUACAGCAUGAGACCACGGCUUCGUUGAAGCUGCGGCCAAAAGCAGGCCUCUACACGUAAGCUUGCGCUUGAGGAUGAGUCUGCGGCCCAUCAGCUAG